rnacentral:lncRNA from 1 species
UAUUUUAUCCGAAUUCUGUGUCUCUGUUUCUUUCCGAGAUUUCUGCCACACUGCAAAUACUUGUAUUAACUGUGUAUUGUGGUGCAGCAUCUGAAAUGUCAUCUUGAGUGCAUCACUGUUUUGGGUUUCAGAUGUCCCCAUGAGCCCUGCACUGUGGGAUGACUGCAGAGAUAAAGACCAGCUGGAGAAGUUGGGGAGCAAUCCUGGAGUCAGACGGGAGACAUUUGCCUGGUCUUGCUGUGUUGCCUGAACUUGUGAUCUUCCUGCCUCAAACUCCCAAGUACCAGGAGUUACAAACUCGUGCCACCACUCCUGGCUCAUCACAAGCCCCUUUUGACAACACCUGGCUUUAUAUUAAUGAAGUCAGUUUUGGAGGGUGGGGUUGGCUGCCAGAGGAAGCAACCAAGUGACAAGGAUCCAAACUUCAGGCCUCACUUACCGCCCCCUGGGAUGGGGAGAAGGGCUGGAGUAAUCACCAAUGGCCAGCAAGGUUCAGACAACUGUGAGGCCUACUGGUUUCUGGGGUGCACCUUGAAGGGGAAGCAGAGAUCCUGGCCCUUCUUCCCAGCCACCGUGAAGUGAGCUGGCCCCUCUGCUAAGUGUUUGCACUAUGAGGAGCUGCAUUGCCUCAGGCUUGAAGCAACAGGGCCCAGGGGUGUGGACUGAAAAGUCUGAGCCAAAAGCCUUUCCUCUCUGUAAGCUGAUUUAUCUCAGGAUUUGCCCUGGGAGAUAGAAAUCAACCUGGCAGAGAACAGAGAAAAAUUGAGGACUUAUUACAACUACAACUGAGGAGACCACAUUCAAGCCACCUCAAAAGCAUGUUCUCGGGUUUUAUAGGAUGGUGACUGUUUCCACAAUUAAUUACAUCUCUGAUGUGUCAGGACUUGUGAUGGAGCAGCAAAGGUCAAAUUGUCUUGUAAGAAUGGGUGUUUUCAGACAGCUUGGGUCUGAAGUUCAGCGUGAAUGCUCUCAAAACCUGGUCUAACAAGGCUGCCAGCUUCAUUCCAAGUGCCCUACACCAGUGCUGCUCCCUUUGAUCUUCUUCCCUGAUAGGUUCCUGGUAGCUUACCAGAAGAAUUUAC